rnacentral:SRP_RNA from 1 species
GCCGGGCAUGGUGGCACAUGCCUGUAAUCCCAGUUACUCAGGAGGCUAAGGCAGGAGAAUCACUUGAACCCAGGAGGCAGAGGUUGCAGUGAGCCAAGAUCACGCCACUGCACUCCAGCCUGGGUGACAGAGUGAGACUCUGUCUCAA